rnacentral:rRNA from 1 species
AAGUCGAGCGAAGCUUUUCAGUAGUUUACUACAGAAAAUGACUGAGCGGCGAACGGGUGAGUAACGCGUGAGCAACCUACCUUAGUUACUGGGAUAGCCCGAGGAAACUCGGAUUAAUACCGGAUAUUCUUAUUUAAUCACACGAUUUUUUAAGGAAAGGUCAGCCGAACUAAGAUGGGCUCGCGUUCUAUCAGCUAGUUGGUAGGGUAAUAGCCUACCAAGGCUACGACGGAUAGCUGGUCUGAGAGGACGAUCAGCCACACUGGGACCGAGACACGGCCCAGACUCCUACGGGAGGCUGCAGCAGGGAAUAUUGCGCAAUGAGCGAAAGCUUGACGCAGCGACACCGCGUGUGGGAUGACGGAUCUAGGUUUGUAAACCACUUUCAGGAGGGAAGAAAAUGACGGUACCUCCACAAGAAGCCCCGGCCAACUACGUGCCAGCAGCCGCGGUAAUACGUAGGGGGCGAGCGUUGUCCGGAUUUAUUGGGCGUAAAGAGCUCGUAGGCGGUUCAACAAGUCGGUCGUGAAAGUUCAGGGCUCAACCCUGAAAUGUCGAUCGAUACUGUUGUGACUAGGAUACGGUAGAGGUGAGUGGAAUUCCGAGUGUAGCGGUGAAAUGCGUAGAUAUUCGGAGGAACGCCAAUUGCGAAGGCAGCUCACUGGGCCGC